rnacentral:tRNA from 1 species
GCGGGCAUAUAAAUAGAUAUGGGAGCGUUGCCCUCCGGAGGCAAAGGUCAUAGGUUCGAAUCCUAUCGGGCGCGCCA